AGUGAACGCUGGCGGCAGGCCUAACACAUGCAAGUCGAACGGCAGCACGGCAGUAGCAAUACUGUGGGUGGCGAGUGGCGGACGGGUGAGGAAUACAUCGGGAUCUACCCUGUUGUGGGGGAUAACGUAGGGAAACUUACGCUAAUACCGCAUAAGAACUGAGGUUGAAAGCGGCGGACCGCAAGGCGUCGCGCGAUUGGAUGAACCGAUGUCCGAUUAGCUAGUUGGCGGGGUAAAGGCCCACCAAGGCGACGAUCGGUAGCUGGUCUGAGAGGACGACCAGCCACACUGGAACUGAGACACGGUCCAGACUCCUACGGGAGGCAGCAGUGGGGAAUAUUGGACAAUGGGCGCAAGCCUGAUCCAGCCAUGCCGCGUGGGUGAAG
rnacentral:rRNA from 1 species